rnacentral:sRNA from 1 species
ACUCAACACGAAUUCUUUAAAAAGGGUGAGUCUAGGUUGUAAAAGCGUGCCGUGUCCUGCUUCGGUUUUUCCGGACCAGGAGAGCGGAUUCUUGAUCAGCUUGUUAGCCCUAAACUUGAUUUAAGGAGUUU